CUUGCUUCUCUUGAGAGCGGCGGACGGGUGAGUAAUGCCUAGGAAUCUGCCUGGUAGUGGGGGAUAACGUCCGGAAACGGACGCUAAUACCGCAUACGUCCUACGGGAGAAAGCAGGGGACCUUCGGGCCUUGCGCUAUCAGAUGAGCCUAGGUCGGAUUAGCUAGUUGGUGGGGUAAUGGCUCACCAAGGCGACGAUCCGUAACUGGUCUGAGAGGAUGAUCAGUCACACUGGAACUGAGACACGGUCCAGACUCCUACGGGAGGCAGCAGUGGGGAAUAUUGGACAAUGGGCGAAAGCCUGAUCCAGCCAUGCCGCGUGUGUGAAGAAGGUCUUCGGAUUGUAAAGCACUUUAAGUUGGGAGGAAGGGCAGUAAAUUAAUACUUGGCUGUUUUGACGUUACCGACAGAAUAAGCACCGGCUAACUCUGUGCCAGCAGCCGCGGUAAUACAGAGGGUGCAAGCGUUAAUCGGAAUUACUGGGCGUAAAGCGCGCGUAGGUGGUUCGUUAAGUUGGAUGUGAAAUCCCCGGGCUCAACCUGGGAACUGCAUUCAAAACUGACGAGCUAGAGUAUGG
rnacentral:rRNA from 1 species